rnacentral:lncRNA from 12 species
UUGUUGAGUAUCUUGGCCGGUCAGUACAUGGGAUAGCUGGAAUUUGAACUCAGAACCGAGACACACAAUUCCAACUGCCUUCGGCCCAGAGGGACUGGGUCUCUUCCACAGGGAUUCUGCCGAGUUGAAGAGGUUGCUUCAGAGCCUUAGGACUUUUACAUCCCUUUGAGGAUCUUCCCGAGCGAAAUUUCAUUCAUAAACUACAAAACAACAGAAAAGUCUAACAUCGAAGGUGCGAUGCUGGUUUUUAAAAAAUAUAUUAUUUUACUUUGUAGAGCAAUGUGAAUGAUUAUAGUCUGAUGCUAACAAGCUUGUGAAUCUCAUUUCCCAAGUUAUGAGUUAGGAAAAAAUGUGAGGCUUUUCUUGAAUGUGCAGUGUUUUGUAUGCUGAACAUUGCUUUCAUCAAAAUAUGUACUGUUGAUUCAUUCAUUACAUUUCUUGUAUGUACUUAACUGGAAAGCAAGAGAAAGAAAAUCAAGUGCUUGUCUUUUCUUGAGUUAAUUUCCCUUAACAUGUAUUCAAAAUAAGCAUUCCAAUGUAGAAUAAUAUAAAAUAGUUAUGGAAUUUGAUGAUUAUAGGAAAGUUGGUGUGGGUGAGAAAUGCAUCAUUCAUUAGAUUGCAAGCAGCAAUGGAUGAUAGAGAAUAGGCAAGGUACUAUAAACAGGAAGCUGUAAAUAAGCAUUUUUUUCCUUUCUGUAACUAGAAUACAAAUACUUGCAUUAUGUAGACAUAUUCAUAAAUUUAGAUGAUAAC